rnacentral:rRNA from 1 species
GACGAACGCUGGCGGCGUGCUUAACACAUGCAAGUCGAACGGAAAGGCCCCUUUGGGGGUACUCGAGUGGCGAACGGGUGAGUAACACGUGAGUAACCUGCCCUUGACUUCGGGAUAACUUCAGGAAACUGGGGCUAAUACCGGAUAGGAAUCCUUGCUGCAUGGUGGGGGUUGGAAAGCUUCGGCGGUUUUGGAUGGACUCGCGGCUUAUCAGCUUGUUGGUGGGGUAGUGGCUUACCAAGGCUUUGACGGGUAGCCGGCCUGAGAGGGCGACCGGCCACAUUGGGACUGAGAUACGGCCCAGACUCCUACGGGAGGCAGCAGUGGGGAAUAUUGCACAAUGGGCGGAAGCCUGAUGCAGCAACGCCGCGUGCGGGAUGACGGCCUUGGGUUGUAAACCGCUUUCAGCAGGGGCGAAGCUUGUGGUGACGGUACCUGCAGAAGAAGCACCGGCUAACUACGUG